rnacentral:rRNA from 1 species
UAUUCCUUUCUUCCAGGAGGAGAGAAAUUCUAUACGGUUGGUCUUGCAGCCGCUUGCUGGGCAAUCUGGCUUGCUCGCAAUAAGGCUACCUUUGAGAAAAAGCAAAUUAAGUCUCCUUUUGAAAUCAUGUUCUCCAUGUGUUCUUUUCUGUUGUAUUGGAGAUGGCUGCAGAAGGGUGACGACGCCGACAAGCUACGCUCAGGUGCCGAGAUGAUCAGGGCCAGCGCGAUGCAGCUGAUGAGACUUUGCGGGGCUGCCGCCCAGCCGAUUGGAGGAGCUUGA